UACGUAGGGUGCGAGCGUUGUCCGGAAUUAUUGGGCGUAAAGGGCUCGUAGGCGGUUUGUCGCGUCGGGAGUGAAAACUCAGGGCUUAACCCUGAGCCUGCUUCCGAUACGGGCAGACUAGAGGUAUGCAGGGGAGAACGGAAUUCCUGGUGUAGCGGUGAAAUGCGCAGAUAUCAGGAGGAACACCGGUGGCGAAGGCAGGUCUCUGGGCCACUACUGACGCUGAGAAGCGAAAGCAUGGGGAGCGAACAGG
rnacentral:rRNA from 1 species